rnacentral:rRNA from 1 species
ACGUCUGCUCAGUGCCCGAAGGUCAAGAAAGUUGGUGACCUAAUGACAGGAGAGUCAACGACCAAAGCCCCAGUCAACGGUGACCGUAACUAUAACGGUCCUAAGAUAGCAAAAUUUCUUGUAGGGUAAGUUCCGACCUAACAACG